rnacentral:lncRNA from 1 species
CCAACGGCAAUGCAGGGUCAGGUAAGAAUGUCUGGGGUUGCCAACACUCUUUCACAGGUUUGAGCAGCGGUAACACAUUUUGGGUAGCCCAGUUUUCUAGUGACUUGAAAAUCUCUUGCUUUUCAGGUGGCAUGGAGUGGGUUUUUUGAGGUUUUGGAGGAGCUGCCGCCACGGCAGAGAUAGGGGAGAAUCUGACGGUGGAGGUUGGUGGAGGGAUGCGGCGGCAGUGGACAUCUGGGAUCCUCCAAGGCAGAGUUUUGGUAGAGACUAGGCUGUGUGUGAAUUGCAUGGUGGCAGUGUAGUUGAGUCAGUGUCUCAAGAAUUUU